rnacentral:tRNA from 1 species
GGGGAUGUAGCUCAGUGGUAGAGCGCUUACCUAGCAUGCACAAGUUCCUGGGUUCAAUCCUUAGUACCCCCC